UGAAGAACACGUGUAUAUAUCCUGCAGAUGCCAGCUCAGUGACAGAAUCAACAGCACAUAUUCCAGCCCAUAAACAAAUAAAACCGACACAAACUGCGAUGAAGUGAAGGAAUCGAGUGUCACUCGACUCACCUGUAAGUUUGAGUGCUUUGGGAACGAAGAGGCGUCUAACUGACCAGAAUGUGUCCGAAUCAGCUGUGCCAAUACGCUUAGACCAGAGUAGGCUUGGGUGACGCUUGGACAUGCAGAAUUAGAGAUGUGUGUGGACUGUUAACACCCAGCCAACCGAAGCAUGUGGACAGACAUUGACUGUAAUGAUGGACAUCUGCUCAUGCACAGAUGAUUCCAGUUUGGGAAUUGACUCCAACAGCAGUGACAACCAUUUUUCCAGAGCCCUCCAUGACAUGAGUACCUGCACAGAGGAAGAUGAGAUAUACAACUAGGCCAUGCCUGUGCUUAUAACAGUCCAAAGUCCUCUGAAGAUCACUUGAGUCAAAGGUUAGUUUAUUUAAUGCUGGGUAAAUCAUAAAAAAAAACAAAAACAAAACAAAAAGUAAAAUCACAUUUCCAUCCUGCAAUAAAUAAGAAAAAACUUCUCUUUUAACAGAGACAGUUUGGCGCUCAGCAAUUACAAUGACACGAUUUUGUACUGUAUUGCAACAAAACAGACAGCAUUUACUCCAAAUUUGUCUUCAAGAAAGUUUCUCAGGAAUGGUUAUUACAAUGACAUCACAUGUUCCUUACAAAUACAUUGCAAUCUCAAUAAACCCCCUGAGUAUUGAUCUACACCUGUCAAAGGUCAAUGUACACCUAAAGCAUUUUGUAAAGAUCACAUACAAAUACACCCUUACAAAUUAAGUUAGAGAAAUCUGAAUAUACAACUGUAGAUUCAAGGUCAAAUACAGCACUGCUAUCAUACAGCGAGGUAUUAUCAGGAGCUAUAAAAGCUUGAGCAAAAGAAGCAACAGGGCAGCGAAUGAUGUACGCCAAGGAGUAACAGACCUGACACGCUAUUUAAACGCACACCGGGAUCUAUCUAGAAAUUCUAGGUGCCAUAUUCAAUCUCAACACAUUAGGCAGACAGUAGACAAAAUAAGUCAGCCGAAUAGGUUGGGUGCAUUGUGUUUUGCACAUCUGCUCCUUCAAAUACGAUCCAAGCAAAUUUGACGUGUCGCACAGCGCUUGUUCCAGUCCUCAUGCCGAGU